rnacentral:rRNA from 1 species
CAAAACAUGGCUUAUUGAAAAUAAUUUUAAGUCAAUCUGCUCAAUGAAAAUUUAAAUAGCUGCAGUAUACCUGACUGUACAAAGGUAGCAUAAUCAAUUGUCUUUUAAUUGAAGGCUAGAAUGAAAGAAUUAAUGAAAUAUAUACUGUCUCAAUUGUAAUUAAUGAAAUUAAAUUUUUAGUUAAAAUGCUAAAAUGUUAUUAUGGGACGAUAAGACCCUAUAGAAUUUUAUAUUGAUAAUUAAUUAAAUAUUAAUAUUUUUUAUUAAUUAAUUAUUAAUAUUUGAUUGGGAGGAUUAUUAAAUUUAUGAAACUUUAAUUUUAAAUUUUCUAUGAUUUUAGAAUAAAUAUUUGAUUUUUAUUAAACAUUAUAAGAUAAAAUUACCUUAGGGAUAACAGCGUAAUAUUCUUUUGAGAGAUCUAAUUGAUAAAGAUGGUUGCGACCUCGAUGUUGAAUUAAGAUAAAUUUUAAAUGCAGGAGUUUAAAAAUUAAGUUUGUUCAACUUUUAAAAUCUUACAUGAUUUGAGUUCAGAUCGACGUAAGUCAGAUUGGUCC